ACACUUUAAAAUUUUGAAUUCCAAGGAAUAUUUGUCGUUUUUUUUUUUUUUAAAUAAAUUUAUAUGUUAUAGACCGGUAAAAAGCAAUUCUGUUUGAAGAUCAUUUAGUAUAAUUUAAUACUAACUAACGGUUUUUUUUCACCCCUCAAUGUUACAAGAAUCUCAGUAUGGCAGACAGACGUAACUUAGGAAAUCGCACUAAACAACAGGAACAAUCCCAAAAACCAAGGGUUCCUUGGAAAGGAUUGUCAAGAUCAAGACCACAACAAGAUAGCAAUGUAACUAUAUCGGAGAGUCGCAACAUGUAUUCUUCAACAAAUCAAUUUAGGAGACCCAAUUUGGACACUACUUUAGCCACCCCAUCGUCAGCUUCUGGUAGUAGAGGUCGUGGUAGGGUUAAUUUAGAUUCAACUUUUGCGGCCCCAUCAGUCCCAAAACGCUCAUUAAAUAGGACUGCUGCUUUAAUGAAACAGGAGGUGGCCAAGAAAACUAUUAAAGAACACGAAGAAAAGAUAAAUGAUCAAAUAUUAAUUCAUACUGAGAAGUUAUAUUCAAUGCAACUCUUCUUAGCGGAUAUUAAUAAGCAAUUGGAGAACCUAGAGGAGCAAGAGAUUAUGGCACAGCUACUUGAAACUUUAAAACUAAAAGUGAAUGAAGUUGAUGAAUUACUAGAGAACUAUAGUGCUGAGAAUAAUGUGUUGAAACUACAAAAUCUCUUGAUAAAAGAGUGUGACCUUGUCAGUGUUAAAAAUAUUAAGUCAAUAGAGUCUCAAGAAGAGUUUGAUAAGUUAAUGGGAGUUUUAGGGAAGUGGAGAGAUCUUCUUCGAAAAAUCAUUAGUGAGAACAGCCAUUUAGAGGAAAUACAUGAUGUGACCGAAGAUUUUAGGCAAUUUAAAAAACUUAACAGAGAGAACUUGGAUAAGAUAGGGAAAAUUGAUGAGGUAAACAAAAAAACUGCCAGGGAAUUGAGUAAGGAGUUAUCUGAUUAUUUUGCUAAAAAAAAUGGAUAUUUUUAAGUUAAGAGUUGAGUGAAAAUAUUUCUUUUUUAUGUAUAUAGAUUGUUUAAUUAAAUAUUAUUUAUUUUCUAUUA
rnacentral:misc_RNA from 1 species